CAAUAUCGUUACGACAAGAAAGAAGGAACGAGUCUUUACAAUCGAAUCGAAAUGUGGAUGUACGUUGGGUUUCUUCGUUUUAUUUCUGUUUAAUCUGGAAGUUAAAGCUGUCAGAUUUGCUGUGCAACUGCGUCAUGGGGUCUUUGGACACAAUUGAAACGAGAUGCAAAGGUGGCAACCACAACAGCCUUUGUAAUAACUAUUCGGAGAUUUACACCCAGAUAAAUGAUAUCACGACAACUGCUACGAUAGCUGAUACUUACACAUCUGAAUGGUCGGCUGGCAACAAACUAUGCUUAACAAACGGACGAUAUCCAUCAUUUGCACGAAGCAUAACAAACACCGGCUUUACUGAAGUUCAGAAACAAUACUACGGGACUGGAAUUUCAGAGCAAACAUAUUGAUAAAACUCUCCUUGAAAGGUUUGAUAAUUGCUUUUGUUCAAAAAGCUACAUUUUAGAAUUAGCAAUUAAGUCGAUUAAACAUACAAACAGAACGAUUUUCAAUGAAUAUCACAUUCGCAAUUCGGUUAGUGUAAAAAAUUACCAUAAUAAUGUUGUGUAAUCAUAAUUUAUCAUAAGCAUUUUUUUAUAUGUAUGAUGACAUUGUAUGCGAGAGAUAUGGUUUUAAUUAAAUAAAGAGUGCCUAUGUUGUAGGAAUUUUUUCCAUUUUUUCAACCGACAAGUACAUGUAUGUGUAUGCAGUGAGAAGCAGCAUAAUAAUUGGGGUUUUAAACAACAAGGGCAUGAAAAUAGCUCUUUGUC